GCAGAUUGAGGGGGGCCCAUUCAAGCCUUUGGACGUUGCAACAACUGGAUAUGGCUUUCCAAGGAGCCACAGGAUGUUUCACUAGACUGACUGCCAGCAUUUCCAUGGAAACCCCCAAAAAUAAAGACUUUCCCAGCCUUGUGAGAACACACCUGCAAGAACCAGAAUCACAUUUCGCCUUUGGCCUCUCAAAAGUGACACUCCUCCAUUUUAGUGUCACCUAAGGACAUUUGUUUUUACACAAGGAAUAUCUUUAGAUCAUCUCCAUGCCAGUUAAGUGGAACCCCUGCCUAUACACUGCUUGCUGGGAUCAUAGGCAAAGCCAAGACUUUCAAAGAUC